rnacentral:misc_RNA from 1 species
AUUUUGUACAGAAAUGUAGAUCUUUAUAAUUAUACACAGACAUCAUGAACAAUUUUACUACUAGGAAAUUAUUCAUAUCAGCAAUGCCAUCAUUUUUUCUUAGAAACUAAUAAAAAUUUUUUUUUAAAUAGUCACAAUUUUGCAUCAUUUCAUUAAAUGCUCAGUUCUAACCAGACUUCUAAGAAAUCAAUUUUUAAAGCCUUCCCUUGUAUGCCUAAGCAAAACAUUGCUAGAACAAAAACUAUAAUUAAUACAGCAACUCAAUUCCAAUUGAAAGCUUCAGUGAAAUUAAUUAGGUUAGCCUGCACUAGCUGUCUUAUGGAUCUUAGAGUUGAAUUCUAAGAAUUUAGAUCUAUACUUUAAUGCAACUUUUGAUAGCGUAACCUAAUGCUUUUGAUUCUUUUUAAUGACUUGUGUUUUACUUUUGAAGUAUGUGUUCACGUCUUUGUUUUGAAAAUGUUUGUUGUUUUUUCUCAAUAAAUCAAAAUAUCAUUGAUCUUUG